GAAUUGUCGUCUUUCCCCGGCCCUAUGUAUUUCCAUUAGAGAGAAAAUAGAGAUCAAGCGCAGACAUGGGAACUUAACAAAGGAAGAAACGCGAAUUGAUGAUGGAGGUCACCAAAGACGAAGCUGCAACCCCAGGAGCAGGAGGUGCUCAACCUCGCAAUCCAAAUCCAAAUCCAAAUCCAACUCCAAAUCCAAACCCUAACCCUAACCCUCCUCACACCACCAGAGGAUCUAAAGGAAAAUCGUGUAAGGGAUGCACCUACUACUCAUCGCUUCAUAAAGCCAAGUCCAAAAACCCCACAUGCGUUGGUUUCUCCAGAACACUCCAGCAAGUACCCCCCUUUGUUGUCGGAGAAUCUGAGUUGGAAGCUUCCAAAGAGGGCCGCAGCCUUACCAAUUUCAAGUAUGCAUGUGUUGGAUACUCUGUCUACUUAGACAACAAAGAUUCUUCAGCUGACUCGCAGGAUAAAACAGCAAAAUUGCCCUUUUGCGUUGGUCUUGAGGUGGUCUUAGAGGAGAAAGCUUCAAAUUCACAUGCAGGCCAUGUUCCUGCUACUCAUAAAACUGAAGUGCCUACUAUAUCGGUGGACUUUUCUACACUUGUAAUGGGGCAAUUGAUAGAUAAUGGUGAAUGUAACACAUGGAACUCUCAACACAAUCCUAUUUACAAUUGUACAAGAUGAACAUGCUGCUCCUCAACCUAGAAGAUAUAUACCUCCAAAUCAUACGACAGAGUUCUUGAACAGGUUUCAAAGAAAUGCAGGCCUGGUGGCAUCUGGUGUUGCCAAAAACUUGAACAGAGUGGGUAACUAUGUGAAAGAUCUCCUAAAUGACAUUCUAAACUAAUUCUACAAUGCACCUUGCAUGGGUGGUACAUUCAUGCUCCCUUAUGUUGAUUUUUCAUUUCAAUCCUCACCCCCUAAUGUGCAAGGCGCAUUAUAGAACUACUCCGACAUUCUAUUUAGGCGAACGACGGUGACAACUGUAGUUCGUGUACGAAAUAAAUUCAAUUUUACACAUUGGCCAUUUUCCUUACCUUAGGUCAAUUUAUUAUUUAGGUUACUGGCGGUUUUAUAAAUAAAUUUUACACAUUGGUCAUUUUCCUUUCGUU